UACAGAGGGUGCAAGCGUUGUUCGGAAUUAUUGGGCGUAAAGCGCGUGUAGGCGGCUUUGCAAGUCGGGGUGUGAAAGCCCUCAGCUCAACUGAGGAAGUGCGCCCGAAACUGCAGAGCUUGAGUACCGGAGAGGGUGGCGGAAUUCCCCAAGUAGAGGUGAAAUUCGUAGAUAUGGGGGAGGAACACCGGUGGCGAAGGCGGCCACC
rnacentral:rRNA from 1 species